GUACCAAAAAAAAUAUCACUCUUCACUUCUCUGAGUAAAUCCACCACAAAAUAUUGUCAAGUGCCAAACUACGAAGCAUCCACCACCCAUGUUGUAUCAGUGCAAGCCCAUCAUCUGAACAACUCCCUUUAGUCCACUCAAAAUGAAGUGAGGACAAUCCAUUUAGCAUUUUGCGCAUUCUCCGGUCAUCGACUUAUUGGAAGUAUUAUGUGGGAACGACUCACUCGACCUCAAAAAGUGUCCACUUCGCUAAAGCGUGAGAGCACUCUCCCAUCAAAGCUGAAGGAUAAAGUGGUGAGAGACACCUCAUCAGAGGGACCAGUGGAAGAGGGCCUCUGUACACUAAAAUAUUUGGGACUUAAACAUACGGAAAAAAAAUACUACCACAAGAACAGGGCUCAUCUUUUUAAAUUUUUUUAAGGGUUAUGUUACUGGGUUGGUGGACAAGGAGACAAAAGAUGGAACGGGAGAGGAUGGCCUAACCGUUAUCAAACUUGUGUAGUUCUUUAAAUACGUUGUUACAUGUUUAGCAAGAGACCAAUACACAUUUCCUAAGCACAGGCAUGUUCAACUAAGUGUUGCUUACAUACUUUAACAAAUUUAUAUUUUCCAUGUGUCCAGAAGCUUUUUUUCUAUUAUUUCUUUCUGGUUACAUCUACAACCCAAAUCAAAGAUCAGCCCUUAAACUUUAUGUUUUCAUGUCGAUAAUUCUUUACAGAUGAAAAGAUGUCAAAGAAAUUUUUUACUGACCCAACAAGUCUACCAAUUGUUGUAAAAGAAGCUGUCUUUGCCCUUAGAGAUGCCGACGGUACCUCAUGGCCAUCCAGGGACAAAGUCAGGAAAAAAUAUUUCAGCCGAAGCCACUACCAAGCAUGUGUUGAGAUAUUGAAAAAGAGAUGGCAAAGAUUUAGUCCGUAACUAAUCAAUAAUCUCAAAGAAUAAAUUAAAAUUCUUCAUGUUGGAUGUU
rnacentral:lncRNA from 1 species